rnacentral:rRNA from 1 species
AUUGAACGCUGGCGGCAGGCCUAACACAUGCAAGUCGAACGGUAACAGGAAGAAGCUUGCUUCUUUGCUGACGAGUGGCGGACGGGUGAGUAAUGUCUGGGAAACUGCCUGAUGGAGGGGGAUAACUACUGGAAACGGUAGCUAAUACCGCAUAACGUCGCAUGACCAAAGAGGGGGACCUUCGGGCCUCUUGCCAUCGGAUGUGCCCAGAUGGGAUUAGCUAGUAGGUGGGGUAACGGCUCACCUAGGCGACGAUCCCUAGCUGGUCUGAGAGGAUGACCAGCCACACUGGAACUGAGACACGGUCCAGACUCCUACGGGAGGCAGCAGUGGGGAAUAUUGCACAAUGGGCGCAAGCCUGAUGCAGCCAUGCCGCGUGUAUGAAGAAGGCCUUCGGGUUGUAAAGUACUUUCAGCGGGGAGGAAGGGAGUAAAGUUAAUACCUUUACUCAUUGACGUUACCCGCAGAAGAAGCACCGGCUAACUCCGUG